rnacentral:rRNA from 1 species
UUUGUUUUUUAAUUAAAAACUAGAAUGAAAGGUUAUACAUUCAAAUUUCUUUAUUAAUUUUUAAUAAAUAAUUUAUAUUAAAUAUAAAAAUAUAUUUAUAAAAAAAAAAGACGACAAGACCCUAUUAAAUUUUACUUAUAGUUUAGCUGGGGAAGCUUUUCAAUUAAAAUUUUUUAAUUUAAAUAAAUAAAAAUCUAAUAAAAUUAAAAUUUUAAUAAAUUACUAUAGGGAUAACAGCAUUAUAUUUUUUAAAAGUUCAUAUUAAAAAAAAUGAUUGUGACCUCGAUGUUGAAUUAUAUUUUCUAUAUUAAAUGCAAUAAUUAUAAAAGUAGAUCUGUUCGAUCUUUAAAAUAUUACAUGAUUUGAGUUCAAACCGGUGUAAACCAGGUUGGUUUCUAUCUUUUUAUACAUUUUUCUAGUACGAAAGGACAAAAAAAUUUUUAUUUUAAUAAAUUAGCAAAUAAAUGCAUUAGAUUUAGAAUCUAAAUACAAUUAAUAAUUUUUUUUAUUAAUCCUUUAUUAUCUAUUAUUAUACUUUUGAUUUCAGUAGCAUUUUAUACAAUUUUAGAACGAAAAAUUUUAAGAUAUAUUCAAAUUCGGAAAGGUCCAAAUAAAGUAGGAUUUAUAGGAAUUUUACAACCUUUUAGCGAUGCUAUUAAAUUAUUUAAUAAAAAUUUAAUUUCAUCUGAAAGAAUAAAUUUUAUAUUAUCAUAUUCAACACCAGCAUUAUCUUUAAUUUUAAGAAUAAUAAUUGUGUCUAUAUUACCAAUAUACUUUUACUCUUCGUUUGAUAACAAAAAUAAUAUUUUAAUAUUUUUUGUAAUUUCAAGAUUAUCAGUAUAUUCUAUUUU